rnacentral:rRNA from 1 species
CCUACGGGUGGCAGCAGUGGGGAAUUUUGGACAAUGGGGGCAACCCUGAUCCAGCCAUGCCGCGUGAGUGAAGAAGGCCUUCGGGUUGUAAAGCUCUUUCGGUGGGAACGAAAUGGUUGCGGUUAAUACCUGCGACUGAUGACGGUACUCACAGAAGAAGCACCGGCUAACUACGUGCCAGCAGCCGCGGUAAUACGUAGGGUGCGGGCGUUAAUCGGAAUUACUGGGCGUAAAGCGUGCGCAGGCGGUUAUCUAAGCCAGACGUGAAAUCCCCGGGCUUAACCUGGGAACUGCGUUUGGGACUGGAUGGCUGGAGUGUGGCAGAGGGGGGUGGAAUUCCACGUGUAGCAGUGAAAUGCGUAGAGAUGUGGAGGAACACCGAUGGCGAAGGCAGCCCCCUGGGCUAACACUGACGCUCAUGCACGAAAGCGUGGGGAGCAAACAGGAUUAGAUACCCCUGUAGUC